rnacentral:rRNA from 1 species
CCUACGGGCGGCAGCAGUGAGGAAUAUUGGUCAAUGGACGAGAGUCUGAACCAGCCAAGUAGCGUGAAGGAUGACUGCCCUAUGGGUUGUAAACUUCUUUUAUAUGGGAAUAAAAUGUUCCACGUGUGGGAUUUUGUAUGUACCAUAUGAAUAAGGAUCGGCUAACUCCGUGCCAGCAGCCGCGGUAAUACGGAGGAUCCGAGCGUUAUCCGGAUUUAUUGGGUUUAAAGGGAGCGUAGGUGGAUUGUUAAGUCAGGUGUGAAAGUUUGCGGCUCAACCGUAAAAUUGCAGUUGAAACUGGCAGUCUUGAGUACAGUAGAGGUGGGCGGAAUUCGUGGUGUAGCGGUGAAAUGCUUAGAUAUCACGAAGAACUCCGAUUGCGAAGGCAGUUCACUGGACUGCAACUGACUCUGAGGCUCGAAAGUGUGGGUAUCAAACAGGAUUAGAUACCCUUGUAGUC